AUUACCGUAAGUUGAUUAUUAGCGUAUUAACGGUGACGGUGAUUCCAAAAAAGUUAGUUUCCGCACACAAAAUGGUCAAAUUUCUAAUCCUUCACCACCUAUUAAACGAAAUUUAGAAUUUACAACUAGAAUUUCUCAGCUUUUUAGAAAAGGGCUUUGAGCACGCCUAUUUUGCAGAAAUUUCGAAAUUUUUGUUUUUUUUUUUUUUUUUAAUUUUAUGAAAAUUUGUUUCAUAACAAUUUAAUUUUUUUAUAUUUUUGAAAAAAAUAAUAUAAAAUCUCCCAAAACUAAUUAAGCUUACAAUUUGGAAAUUUGAAGUCUAGAAGCUAUGCAGUUAAGACUGCUGUGACUUCAGAUUUAAUUUUUAUUUAAAUUUUAUUUUAUUUUUAAAAAUAUCCAAUAAGAUAUUAGAGCUAAAAUUUAGCAAUUCAGGUUUUCAACUAAAAAUUCAAACUUUGAGGGAUUUUUCUGAAAAUUUUGAGUUGAUUUUGGAUUGUUUAAUGUUAGUCAUCAUCAAUGAUUUAAAAAAUAUAUAAAUGUAUAUACAUUCUUUCAAACAUUAUCACAAAAAUUUCAAAACUUUUAAUCCUAUUAAUUUCCUUGUAAAACCGAAUUUCCUCCUCCUUUUCUUCAUUUUCUUCCAAUUUCCGUCCCACCAGAUGCUCCAUCUGGACCAUUCUUUUAAUGAGGUGUUUCCCCCCAUUCAUUACGAGUUUUUCAUUUUCCAUCAUCAUCAUCUGCUUCAACAAAAGAGACCGAACGCCGUUCAGUUUUCGUACUUUUACUAUACGCUUGCUAUACGGACGAUUGCUUUUUUAAAAAAUGUUUCAUAGUUUUCUCAUCGUUUAUACAUAGUACAAAAUAUGUGCGUCUUGUCGAUGCACCAUGUUUUAUAACUAGUUGUUUUGACCACUCAGUUCGUUAUAAUAGUAUUUAUAAAAUUUUAAUUCACAAUAUAAUAUUUUAAAAAUAAAUUAUUGAACAUUUU
ensembl:lincRNA linc-159 ncRNA